rnacentral:rRNA from 1 species
AGUGAACGCUGGCGGUAGGCCUAACACAUGCAAGUCGAACGGCAGCACAGUAAGAGCUUGCUCUUACGGGUGGCGAGUGGCGGACGGGUGAGGAAUACAUCGGAAUCUACUUUUUCGUGGGGGAUAACGUAGGGAAACUUACGCUAAUACCGCAUACGACCUACGGGUGAAAGCAGGGGAUCUUCGGACCUUGCGCGAUUGAAUGAGCCGAUGUCGGAUUAGCUAGUUGGCGGGGUAAAGGCCCACCAAGGCGACGAUCCGUAGCUGGUCUGAGAGGAUGAUCAGCCACACUGGAACUGAGACACGGUCCAGACUCCUACGGGAGGCAGCAGUGGGGAAUAUUGGACAAUGGGCGCAAGCCGGAUCCAGCCAUACCGCGUGAGUGAAGAAGGCCUUCGGGUUGUAAAGCCCUUUUGUUGGGAAAGAAAAGCAGCAGGUUAAUACCCCGCUGUUCUGACGGUACCCAAAGAAUAAGCGCCGGCUAACUUCGUG